GGGUCAGUAGGUUGGUCGUGCCACUGGUAUGCACUGGCCUUACUGAUUCCUCCUUCUUGAAGAACUGUGAUGUCAUUUACUUGGUGUUGCAGGGAAACAGGACUGUUACUUUGAAAAAAUUAGAGUGUUUAAAGCAGGCUAACGCUUGAAUACAUUAGCAUGGAAUAAUGAAAUAGGACGUUUGAUCCUAUUUUGUUGGUUUUAAGGACCAAUGUC
rnacentral:rRNA from 1 species